UACGUAGGUGGCAAGCGUUGUUCGGAUUUACUGGGCGUAAAGGGCGCGUAGGCGGCGCGGUAAGUCACUUGUGAAAUCUCUGAGCUUAACUCAGAACGGCCAAGUGAUACUGCAGUGCUAGAGUGCAGAAGGGGCAAUCGGAAUUCUUGGUGUAGCGGUGAAAUGCGUAGAUAUCAAGAGGAACACCUGAGGUGAAGACGGGUUGCUAGGCUGACACUGACGCUGAGGCGCGAAAGCCAGGGGAGCAAACGGG
rnacentral:rRNA from 1 species